rnacentral:rRNA from 1 species
UACGGAGGGUGCAAGCGUUGUCCGGAUUUAUUGGGUUUAAAGGGCGCGUAGGCGGCCUUGCAAGUCGGUUGGUGAAAGCCCGGGGCUCAACCCCGGAGGUGCGGCCGAGACUGCAGGGCUGGAGGCCGGAAGAGGAGGGUGGAAUACCCAGUGUAGAGGUGAAAUUCGUAGAUAUUGGGUGGAACACCGGUGGCGAAAGCGGCUCUCUGGUCCGGACCUGACGCUGAGGCGCGAAAGCGUGGGGAGCAAACAGG